GUUGCUCAAGUAAGGACCGCAUCAAAGUCUUCUCUUUGUUCAAUCAAGGACUACCGCAACACAGCUUUGACGAUGAAGUUUUGCUCAGCAAUCUUGAUUCUCGCCUUGGCAGCAGCUCUCUUUGCGGUCGUCACUGCUGUGGAAGAGAGAACAGGAGGAGGAGGUGGUGGUGGUAGUGGAGG